rnacentral:lncRNA from 1 species
UAGAAAAAAUUCUCCACUACCAGCGGUCUAGUGAGAAAGAAAAGUUACCAAAGUUUGUCGAAACUAUGCAUAGUCCAGAGAUGAAAAGGGUAAAUGCUUUUAUUUCUCUUUCAAUUUCAGAAUUACAACUAUUUAGCGGUUUGAGUUUGGCUGCUCUUUCUAGUGAGUCGAAUGGCCUAUUAGGGCCAUUCCUUAUAUUGUUGUAUAUAUAUAUAUAUAUAUAUACAUAUAUUCGAGUUAAGUCCCAUGGGCAUAGAAGUACCAACAGCCGAGCACGACCAGGGUGCGUGCAAGAGGACAAAACAGUCCUAUAUGCUAUCGUUCAUGAUCCGUGCAUUUGCGAAUGGUUGCUUCUUGGUUUUUGUCGAAAUGGUGACACGAGUCUUUUGAGAUGAACCGAGUGAUCCAGGCCAUUUUAUCUGAGUUUUCCUCCGAAACACCCUAGAUGGAUUGCCCCACUAUUGGAUGGAUCUGGCUAUCGGCUAAGUCCAUUAGCGAAAGUGGUUGUAUGGGAAACCAGAUUGAAAGGACGGAAGACAGAUACUUUCCGCUUCUGGCCAAGUGCUUAUCAACUUUUCCAUGUUUCCCUUGAAAAGGAAAGCGUGGGUGUGGAGGGAAGUGCUGCAUGGUGGGUGAAUGUUGCAAGAAUGGUCUGAGUGAACGGACCGUGUAUAAACACGCACCUGCAAGUUGAAGGACAGUGUAAAGAGAGCGCAGUGGUCAGAGUGACCGUGGUUUUAGUGGGGAGUUGACGAGCAGCUCUAGGAAGUCUCCCUUUUUGGGGGGAAAUUAUUGAUUGUCAUAAUUAUACAUCGUUACUGUUUUAUUUUUACGCGGCUUUUAAGUAAUCCUAUAUUGCAUUGUCCUGUACCAUCCCUAAUGAACCCUUAAUGGUUAGUAAAGAAAAUUAUUGGUUAUUUUUAAGUAUAUCUUUAAAGUUAUAAUCUAACGAGAGUCCUAAAUUCAGAACAAAAAAACCAUCUUGUCAAUGUAUGUAUAAAUCUUUAAUCUUUAAUCUCCCUCAUCCAUUUUCCACGGACUAGACAAGAGGAAGUCCAACAAAUGCUUCUUUCUAUUGUUUGUGUUUUUAUUAACUUUGUUGCGCGCGCGCGUGUGUGUAUGUGUGUGUUUCUGUUUCUUAGUUCAGCCUACUUCCUGUUUUUCAUUUGCUCAUGUCUACAAUGUAAAGAAUCCAUUUCGACACAAAUUACCUAUAAUGUAGAAUGCACCAGUAGUGAUCGCUGUAAUUGACAAAUAAAUAUUCGGAAGAAUGACAGAACAAAUUGUUACUUUAACUAACGAGUAGACUUCAGCUAAUAUUCUGAGUCAGCAGUCAUAUGAUGUUUAGAAAGCUGGCCGAAGUAUACAGUAUGAAUGAGCUACAUGUUCCUAACCUUCUUUAAAUCCUGCUUAGACAUAACUGGGGAGUAUAUUGCACAUUCUGGUAUGCAGUGCUGAAUUGUAGAAAUGUAGUACGAAUUCACGGCUUGAAUCUGGUGAUAGAACAGAAAUGGAGGAAGUAGGCUCCGUCUUUGUCAUAUGGUGCAAGGAAACGAAUGUGACAAAGAUGGUAGAGCUGACAGGUCAGUGGGAAGCAAAUACCGAAGACGCUUUCCUCAGGAAAGAUAGAAAAUACAGCCAAUUGGUUGAAAACAGUGGAUGGGACACAAUAUGCCUUCCCGUAGAAACAAGUGUCUGAGCAUUUGUUGAAAUCAGUAUUCACAUUCGAUGUUCAAGAGACUUGGACUAGCUGCGAAGGACAGAAACAAAGUUGCCAAAAAAACUGUCGGAAGCCAGUAUAUAUACUUCAAGUGAUGCAGCAAGUAACGAACGUUCUAAUAGCAUUUCUUUCGGCGCUUUGAGUUCUGAGUUCAAAUUCCGCUGUGAUAAAAUUUGCUUUUCAUUGGAGAUCCAUUAAAAUAAAGUACCAGUCAAGCACAGAGGUCGAUGUUAUUGACUCUGCAACGAACCGGCGUUGUGUUCUGAAUAAUGUAAUCUCGGUCACAUAUCCGUCAUGGAAAUCGGAUAAACGGCUUUAUGAGUGCUAAGGCCCAAGAAAACUAAAUAAAAAAAGUUUGUGCACAAACUUCGGUCCUACUCUAAUUACUAUUAUUUUUUUAUGCGCCCUUCUCAAAUCUAGCCAGGCUCAUGGGCUCGGUUUCCCGGUUUCUGUGGCGUAUGUGACCCGCCACCCCAGCUGGACGGGACGCCAGUCCAUCGCAGCGUUACUCAAGAAACAAGAGUGAGAGAAAGAGUACAACAUGGUUCGCCACCCCCAUCCCCACCUUGCCCUGCCGGAGCCUCGUGGUGCUUUUAGGUGUUUUCGCUCAAUAAACACACACAACGCCCAGUCUGGGAAUGGAAACCACGAUCCUCCGACCGCGAGUCCGCUGCCCUAACCACUGGGCCAUUGCACCUCCCCACUCUAAUUACUAUACGCAAUCUUUUCAAUCUAGCAAAUCCCGAUCAGGACCGUGUAACUUCCACAUGUGUGCGUGAUGUUUGUGAAACGGUUCGACCAUUUAAACCCGACGAUCAAUUCAACAGUAAUAAUACAUUUUCCAAUAUGAUAUCGCGACAAUAAAAAGGAAAACGCCAUUAGUAAACAUUUCUUUCUGAAGACGACAGAGUGGAGAUUUAGAAAUAUGAAUGAAACUAAGAACGCUGUUGACCCAAAUGAAAUCGGAGCCAAACCACAACUGUGGAUACACAGUUGCAUAACAGAGUGUGUGUGCGUAUGUUUUUAGCCUCCGAGUAACUAUGAACUCUUCGAGCGGAACUCAAUCUAUUUCUGUCUCGGUCUAUGUGUACAUGCAUGUUUCUGUGUGCAAGUGUGUAGCUGAAUAUUGUGUGUGUGUGUCUGUCUGUAAAUAUGUGUGUGUGUGUCUGUCUGUAAAUAUGUGUGUGUGUGUGUGUGUGUGCGAAAGGAUAAACACCUAUAUAGACUGGAAGUGCCACAAUUUCUAUGUAAGUAUACUGAAAAGAUAUCCGUCUCGUACAAUAUAUAUAUUAUGUAAUGCCCAGUAAAUGUCGAUGCAAACUGCAGAAAUAAUUUAAUUAGCUCUCUCUCCAUAUAUAGGGCGUGAUCGUUUCGUUAAAAUACAUAUAUAAAUAAGAUAUAUCAUUGUUGAACAAUUUGUAACAUUUUAUCACACACAGGUAUAUGUACAUAUAUAUGUAUAAAUAUAUAUAUAAAUAUAUAUAUAUAUAUAUAUAUAUAUAUAUAUAUAUAUAUAUAUAUAUAUAUAUAUAUAUACAUAUAUAUAUAUAUAUAUAUAUAUAUAUAUAUACAUAUAUAUACAUAUAUAUAUACAUAACAUAUAUAUACAUAUAUAUAUACAUAACAUAUAUAUACAUAUAUAUAUACAUAUAUACAUAUAUAUACAUAUAUAUAUACAUACAUAUAUACAUAUAUAUAUAUAUAUGUAUGUAUCUAUGUAUAUAUGUAUAUAUGCAUGUGUGUUUAUAAAUAUAUGCAUAUAUGGGUGUGUGUUUAUAUAUAUAUAUAUAAAUAUAUGUUUAUACAUACAUAUAUAUAUAUACAUAUAUUUAUAUAUAUAUAUAUAUAUAUAUAUAUAUAUAUAUAUAUAUAUAUAUAUAUAUAUAUAUAUAUAUAUAUAUAUAUAUACGUAUAUAUGGAGUAUACAUAUAUUCAAUUAUAUAUAUUACAUACUUAUUAGGCAGACGGACAGACUCACGCACAUACACACACUCACACACAUACAGAAAGACAGACAAACAGGCACUGAAACUGACAGAUAUUCAGACAGACAGGCAAAAAUAGAUAGAUAGAUAGAGAGAGAGAGAGAGAGAGAUAGGCAGACAGACAGAUAUAUAUAUAAAUUCACUUUCUAUCAAGCGUAAAAUUUACUUGAAGUGAAUCUCUAAAUGUUUACGAAACGUUAAACGCAAUAAUCUGGGUUAACUGUGAGAUAACCGAUAAUACAAUAAUGGAGACAACUUCCUGUUAGUAGUUUGUGAGAAACUUGUGAGAAAGAUUUGUUGUGGUAAUCGUUAACCUAGAAAGCGAACAAAUUUAGCUCCAAAAGAUAAACUAUAUUAUAUACUUAAAUAGAUUCUGAAAUUUUAUUUCAGUAGGUUAAACAAGUAAUCAAUUUAAUUACUUUCAGUUAUUUGAAUAGAAAAUUGAAUGAAAAAGGAUUGCAUUAUUGUAUUAUCGGAUAAGGCGGCGAGCUGGCAGAAACGUUAGCACGCCGGGCGAAAUGCGUAGCCGUAUUUUGUCUGCCGUUACGUUCUGAGUUCAAAUCCCGCCAAGGAUGACUUUGCCUUUCAUCCUUUCGGGGUCGGUAAAAUAAGUAUCAGUUAUGCACUGGGGUCGAUAUAAUCGACUUAAUCCGUUUGUCUGUACUUGUUUGUCCCCUCUGUGUUUAGCCCCUUGUGGGUAGUAAAGAAAUAGGUAUUUCGUCUGUCUUUACGUUCUGAGUUCAAAUUCCGCUGAGGUCGACUUUGCCUUUCAUCCUUUCGGGGUCGAUAAAUGAAGGAUCAGUUACAAACUGAGGUCGAUGUAAUCGACUUAAUCAGUUUGUCUGUCCUUGUUUGUCCCCUCUGUGUUUACCCCUUGUGGGCAAUAAAGAAAUAAGAAAACGUUAGCACGCCGGGCGUGCUUAGCGGUAUUUCGUCUGCUGCUACGUUCUGAGUUCAAAUUCCGCCGAGGUUGACUUUGCCUUUCAACCCUUCGGGGCCGAUAAAUUAAGAGCCAGUUGCGUACUGGGGUCGAUCGAAUCGACUGGAUCCCUCCCCCAAAAAUUCGGGCCUUGUGCCUAGAAUAGAAAAGGGAAUCGUAAACACCACGGCAUUUCGUCUACCGCUACGUUAUGAGUUCAAAUUCUGCCGAGAUCGACUUUGCCUUUCAUCCUUUCGGGGUCGAUUAAAUAAGUACCAGUGAAAAACUGGGAUCGAUGUAAUCGCCUAGUCCCCUCCCCAAAGAAUAUCAGGCCUUGUAAAGGAUUAUUGUAAUAUCGGAUAAGUUCACCGGGUCAUGAUUAUAUAGAGCAGUAGUUCGUAGAAGUUCUCAAUUAGGGUCCAUGUAAGAUUUUACUGCAAAAAUUCAUGGACAAUAAACUUAUCCAAACUUCUAUAAUACACAGAAUAUCUUAACAAUUCAUUGUUAUCCUAUUUCAAAUAAUAUUUCAUUCUCAAAAUAUAACAUCAUUAUUUUAAGCAUCCAAUGCUUAUGAGAGUCCUUUGGUAAAAAUAAGCGGGGUUCAUAAAUAAACAUUGGUUGAAAAUCACAGGUUUAGAGAUUCCAUGGGUGUAGAAGGCUGUUUUUAUUGGAUCUCGUGUCUCGUGAUUUUCUCAAAAUAAAUGGAACAUAACAUGUAUCAGUACAAAAGAAUACAGCGCAAAAUGAAACAGAAAACUAACACAACCUCCAGGCCCUUCCUGCUUGCGAAUUAUUUCGUUGAGAUGGGAAUAUUGCCGGAAAAAACGUAAGGAACCAUAAAUAUAUUACAUCAUUAUAAACAAUAAUAAUAAUAUAAACUUGUUUCCAGUUCAAAUAUGCUGGAGGUGUGUUCGCAUCCGUAAGGAAACCAUUCAUUGUAUUUUGUUAUAGAGAAAGAUUCCCGCUAUAGACAAACAGAUGGAAAUACCCCAAGUCAGUUCACAGCGUUCCCUAACAAGUCUGUUGGAUGCAUGCGUUCAGGGAUGGCUAUAUGUUUUUACUUUUUACGGGUCCCAGUCAUUGUACUGUGACUACACUGUAACGCCGUUUUAAAGGGUUUAGUCGUAAAAGUCCCCUCUUUCACUUUUUCUCUCUCUCCCCUCUUUCUCUUUCUCUCUCUCGUUGCUCCCACGUGACCGUUGUCCAUCUUUCUUUUCCUGCACGGACGUUUAAAAGAACGGAGGUGUUUUCUUUUCUCUCUCUCUCUCUCUCUCUAUCUAUCUAUCUAUCUCUAUCUCUCUCUUCUAUCUUUUCGCUUUUCAAAAGAAUUGUUUCUCCCAUCGUUCACUAUUUUCCCCUCGUUGUCGAUAAAUUAAGUACCAGUUACGCCCUGGGGUCAAUGGAAUUGACUUAAUCCUUUUGCCUGUCCUUGUUUGUUCCCUCUGUGUUUAGACCCUUGUGGGCAAUAAAUAAAUAAAUAAAUAAGAGUGAGCCAGAGAGUGAUAGAUUAUGUAGUAGGAAACAAAACUGUGUUACAAACAGGUAAGCAACAUGCAGAAGAAAUGUAAAAGAUACAAUAUUUAACAUAGUGUAGAAACGAGUUAGAGAGACACGACACACAGUACAUAACAGACAGCAGAACAUAAGCCAGACCAUAAAUUUCCUUUUCUACUUUUGUAUGUGUCUCUCUGCGAAAAUGAUUGUAGAAACACUGCUGUGCUGAUGACGCCUGUUAAAGCAGAAACAAGAGACAACAACUGUCUUAGUAUCACUACAAAAACAAAAGAGAAGUGAACUGUAUUUUCUUUAAUGACAGGUCAAAUCUGGAGAAUUCUAACAUUUUGAGAUUAUUUCCAUAUCUUUAUUCAGAGUCACUCGCAACUGCCGCCAGCCGGCGUUCAUUUACUGUCUCUAGAAACGAAGAUAAUUUUAAUAAAUCAAAAAUUUAUCUGUAUAAUAUUUAAUAUAUGUGUAUGUGUCUUUGUUGUUCAACUACAUGCCACAAACCAUACUGAAUUACUAUAUCUUAGCUCAUUUUCGUUAUGUGCGUAGGUGCAUGUGUGUAUAUGUGUGCAAAUACAUACAUACAUACAUAUACAUACACACACAUAUAUGUACAUACAUACAUACAUACAUACAUACAUACAUACAUACACACACAUAUAUAUAUAUAUGUGUGUGUGUGUGUGUGUGUGUGUGUAUUUGUGCGUACGUACGUAUGUAUGUAAUCAUUAGAUUAUAUAUUAAUACCAAGUUAACACCUCACAGAAAUGUAGACACAAUGAUAUAUUACCUGCAUGCAGCAAACAUUGUUACUAUCUUAUAAACAGAAACAUUGUUUUAGAGACAGCAACAGUGCAUUAUCGACACACACAUACUCUCUUUCUUCCCCCCUCUUACACACAUACACACACUUUCUCUUUCUUCCCUCUCUCUCCUAUAGUAGUUUACGUGUAGGCGUUCACGUUAGAAUUACGUUGCAAAUAUUCUGUAAUAAUUUUUUUAUGAAUCGGAAACUACGUAGGCGAAGAAUCAAUACGCUACAUUUCUUCUUUCACAAAUCUUUAAGAAAAAAGAAAAUAGAAAUGUAAAGAAAAGAUAUUAGAAAAAAAAAAAAAAAAACAGAUAGAUUUAUGCCGGAAAAGAUAAAACGUGAUUUCGUAUAUUUUUCUUUAAAAGUUCAUUAAACUCGAAGACAAAAUAAUGAUUGUAAGUGAAACAAAUCUACGUCAGACAUAGGAGACUUUCCAGAGAGUAAUAGUUGUAAUCGCAACACCUCUAUCUUGAGGCAUUUGAACACAGAAUUUACUCAAUUCAUAAGAUACACAUACACAUACAUACAUACAUACACACACACAUACAUACGUACAUACAUACAUACAUACAUACAUACAUACAUACGUACAUACAUACAUACAUAAAUACAUACAUACAUACAUAUAUGAUGGUUCCCCUCUCGUUAUCGAGUAUGGCCAUUGCACGAAGCUUAACUGUUAUUGGUGCUGUGAUCGAAUGUGGCAUUUUAGCCCAGCUAAAGAUCUACAAUGUCUUGUACAGAAUUGGCAACUAAAACCUUUGCCGGUAAUAGCCGGCUGUAGUUGUAACUGGGCUUCAUGUACCUUUGCAUGUCGUUUACGUCCUCCUGCCGAAUUACUCUCUCUUCCACAUACCUGAGAGACAUGAUUAGUAUGGUGUGUAACACCACCACCAGUGGCCAGGUUGUCACUCAUCUGCCUCGCUUUAUGACUACGAAGACGACUCUUGAGUCCAGCUUUACUGAGGCAGGGUUCUUGCACAGAUACUGCAUGUCAGCAUCAUAGGAAUACCCUUCCCAUCUGGAAGUGUAACAGCGAUGCCCUUCCUGACAUCCCUCCUUACUUUCUCAUGCGCAACUCGAGAUUUCUCAAAAGUAGCUGUCCCCUCGUGCACAAUCCUUCUCCACCUGCUACGAUAAAUAGCUAUGCCCUUCUAUGUCAGGAGAGAUGCAAGCAUACAUACAUAUAUAUAUAUAUAUAUAUAUAUAUAUAUAUAUAUAUAUAUAUAUAUACACAUGUUGAUUUGCUAGCCUCUGCACGCAUUUUUUUCUCUCCUUCUUUCUGUGUUUCUUUUCUGUGUAUCUUUCUGUUGAAGAGCGUAUGCUAGAAACGUAAAAGACUUGUUUUAUUUAUAUUCCUGAGCGCCAUACUAAUACAAUUGUUUGUUUGUAUUCCACCUGCCUUCGUCUUUUGUUUAUUUCCGUAAACCUGCCUUCGUCUUUUGUUUAUUUUCAUAAAGCUUCCCGUUAUAUAUAUAUAUAUAUAUAUAUAUAUAUAUAUAUAUAUAUAUAUAUAUAUAUAUAUAUAUAUAUAUAUAUAUAUAUAUGUAUGUAUACGGUAUCUCACAGAAGUAUGUACACCCCUAAAAAUUUUCAGUAAUAUUGCCAUUACUCUGAUAAUAUCGAAGGAAAUGAAACGAAAUUUAUGCCGAAUAAAAUAUAUCAUACAUGCAAACAUUAUACAAAUUUGGAACACAAAACAAUAAACAUUUUCAUAUAUAUGAACGAAAUAUUAAUUUUCAAACGUUACAAAAAUAUAUAUUUCCUAAAGGAAAUUUGCUAUAUUAAAUAUUUUAUCCAAUUUUUUUUUAUAAAUUCAGUUAUUGCUGAUAAUUUCAAUUCUAAUAAAUUAUUUCUCCUGACAUUUUUGCACCGGCCAUUGUUAUUGCAUCUGCCUUGGUGAAAAUCUUUUUCAUUGUGAAUAAAAUGGCACCAAAAGAAAACGAAUUGUUUGAACCAGUGUGGUCUUCAUGGGCGUAUUCCUCGUAGGAAGCCUCUCCUCAGUACCAGGCAUAAAUCAAGUCGUCUAUCUUUUGCCGACACCUAUGUGAGUAAGGGGAAGGGGUUUUGGAAUAAAAUUGUUUUUUCUGACGAGACUAAAAAUCAACUUGUUUGGAUCAGAUGGUAUUAAACGAGUAUGGCGACGACCAGGUGAAGAUAAUAGCAACAAGUGCACCGUGUGCCUACCGUGAAACAUGGCGGCGGAAGUGUGGAAGGACAUACAUUUAUUGAGAGAACAAUGGAUUCAAGGCUUUAUUGUGAGAUGUUGCAGAAAACAAUGUUGAAAAGCAUCAAGGAACUAGGAAGAUAUUUCAUGUUCCAACAUGAUAAUGACCCUAAACACACUUCAAGGAUGACGACUAAGUUUUUAUCAGAUGAAAAGGUAAAGGUAUUACCUUGGCCUACCAUCUUACCUGAUUUAAACCCAAUAGAACAUCUGUUGGGUGUUUUGAAAAGGGAGGUUGAGGAGAAAAAACACUGCAGUGUAACACAGUUAAUAGAAUUCAUUCAGGAUGAAUUUAGGUCAAUUUUAUCGGUUAUAUGCGGAACUUUAUCCCAGAAGACUUAAUGCAGGCAUAGUAAGCAAGGGUGGUCACACCAAAUAUUGAAUAUAGCAAAUUUCCUUUAGGGUGUACAUAUUUUACUAUCGUUUGAAAAUUAACAUUUUGUUCAUAUCUUUGAAAAUGUUUAGUGCUUUUUGAUCUUUUAUUCAGUAUAAAUUUCAUUUGAUUUCCUUCGAUAUUAUCGGAGUAAUGGCAGGAGUGGCUCUGUGGUAAGUAGAUUGCUUACCGACCACAUGGUUCCGGGUUCAGUCCCACUGCUUGGCACCUUGGGCACGAGAUGGCAGAAUCGUUAGCACGCCGGGCGAAAUGCUUGCCUUUCAUCCUUUCGGGGUCGAUUAAAUAAGGACCAGUUACGCACUGGGGUCGAUGUAAUCGACUUAAUCCGUUUGUCUGUCCUUAAUCCGUUUGUCUGUCCUUGUUUGUCCUCUCUGAGUUUAGCCCUUUGUGGGUAGAAAAGAAAUAGGUAUUUUGUCUGCCGCUAAGUUCCUAGUUCAAAUUCCGCCAAGGUCGACUGUGCCUUUCAUACUUUCGGAGUUGAUAAAUGAAGGACCAGUUAAAUACUGGGAUCGAUGUAAUCGACUUAUCCCCUCCAAAACAUUUCAGACGUUGUGCCUACAGCAGAAAUGAUUAUUAUUUUUUUUUUAUUGAGUGAAAGAGCAGUGUAUGCGAUCAAAGUGACACUGGGAUAAAAUAUACAAAGCCCAGUAUAUCCAUCAUGACUAUCUGUCUAAUAAGGGUACACCAGACACAUGCAUCACAACAAUAUGUGCGCGACAUGGUGAUCGCAUAUCAAGAUAAACAGUACAUGACAUUGUAGGUGGGGCCCAGUUAGGAUUUUCUUCUGGUCGAGUAACCCAUCCCAUUCAAAAGGUCCCUGAAUAAGGGUGGUUUAAGGAUGUUGAACGAAACACCCAUGUUUCCAGAGGUGAAUUAUUCAAACCCCAAAGAAUCCCUCUCAACACAUGGCUAUGAUGCUCACCCACUAUUUCUGCUCGUGAUCAGAGAUGCACAUAUAGUCAACUACUAAGGGAUAUGCUCAACUGGUUAUGGUCAAACAAUUGACAAGCAAAUCUGUGGUACUGAACAGAAUAUUUGCUGUAGCCCAUCUUUUAUAACAAGACAAAACAAUGUACAUGACAACACUUCCAAUCAGUUAAGAUCAGAAGCCACGAGAGCCACUGCCUGGUACAGCUUCAGUGUAAUUUUUAUUAUUUAUUGUUGUUGUUGUUGUUGUUGUUGUUCUUGUUGUGUUGUUGUUCUUGUUGUUGUUGUCUUUGCACAGCUUCUAGCGCUGGAGAUGUUACGGUGUCAGCUGUUCACUACCAGCGAAAUAAGGUAAAGCAUCUUAUUUUUCGAAGCACCAUCCGGAGUAUUCGAGCGGUUCCAAACAGUGCUAUUUUCUGCAAGUGCUCCACUCUUAUUGCAGCUCCUAUUUGUCCCAUGUACUUCUCAAGAUUUUUAUUCACUGUUCUCAGGGCUCUGACUAUCAUUGGUAAUACUACUACGUUUUUCAGCGACCACAACUGCUUAACCUCCCAAGCUAAUCUGAUAUAUCUACCGACUUUUCUUUCCUCCUUAUCGCAUACCUUGUUGUCAACUGGGCAUUCUAUAUCAAUGAUCCAGCAUCGUUUGCUUUCUUUCUCAAUUAACACUAUGUCUCGUUUCCUGUUCUCUAUCUUAUGGUCGCACGUUUGGCUUUUGCUUUGUAUUUGUACAAGUUGACUCCAAGUCUCACCCAGAGUCCUCAAGAGACAACAAGUUAGAAAUUCAAGUUGGCGUUCUGACUAGGGUGCAUUAAUUUUGGUUUUGCACAGAGUAUUGUUCUAGAGAAUGUCUGUCGAAACAAGUGAAUAAGAAGUUUGUUUUAAAAGUAAUUUGAUUAUAAGAUAAUAGGCUGAUGUUAAGAUGAGAGUAAAAGGUGUUUGUUACUAUGUACAUUUAAAAAUAUUUUCACACUGUUUACGGAUUAAAAUAUUUUUAGAAUUACAUAGACAAUAUUUUGCAUAGAAUAUGGGCAGUUCUCAAGAGCACAAUUUUUUUAAUUUUUCCAUUUUUGGACUUCCUAAUAUCUGAGAUAGGUAGAAAUCAUCUCCUUUUGCUAUCAUUCUUAGGGUACCUAUGGCAAUUGAUAUUGUUAUAGACUUCAGGUUCCACAUUUUGCUAAUUUUUAUUUCAAGAUCUUUAGAGUUGCUCAGAUUCUGGUAGGUCUUGAUAGAUACUUUUAUAUCGAUUGGGACAGUCAUAUCAAUGAGGAGGCAUGUUUUUUGUCUGAAGUCUUUCAAUAUGAUGUCUGGCCUAUUUGCUUCUAUCUUUCUGUCAGUUUGAACGGUGAAGUUCCAGAGGUGAGUGAGAUGUAAUCAUUUUCAAGCACUGGAGGUGGUUUGUGCUCCCACCAGUUUUCAUCACGGGCCAGGUCCAAUUCUUUGCAAAUUACCAAGUGAAUAUACUGUGCUGAUCUAUGAUACCCGUUGAGAUACUCUGUAGACGCAAGAAGACUGCACAUGGAGUCAACAUGCUCAAUGGUUUCAUUUUGCUAUUUACUUACACGAUAUGUUGGGCCACUGCUUUUCUUUAAGCUGUUGGCCUGGUAGUCCCUUGUAGGUAGGUAUUGAUCUUGGGCUACUAUGAUAAACUAUUCUCUCUCUCUCUGUUUUGAAACCAGAAGAGACUAACCAUUGAAUGGUAAGGGCUUUGUCAACAUCGGCAUUAUUAGCUCUCUGAGCAUUUGCCAUUGAGAGAUGGUUCUGUGCUUGUUUCCAGCACGUCUAAUUCUGGGAUUUUAUUAUCAUUAUUAUUAUUAUUAUUAUUAUUAUUAUUAUUAUUAUUAUCAUUAUUAUUAUUAUUAUUAUUAUUAUUAUUAUUAUUAUUAUUAUUAUUAUUAUUAUUAUUUUUCAGUAGUAUAUUUUUUAUAUCGUGCUUUCACUUCACUACCGAGCGCAGCUCUGUGUGCCUUCGGUAUGUGCUGUGAUUUGCUGUGAUGCUCUGAUGGUUACUGUAUGGAAAGUGUUCUGCGUAGGAUGUGUGCAGUGCCUAGUAGUGCAAUUUUCUGUAUGUUAUAUGUGUUUGUAAGUUCUGGUGUUUUUGUUAUGUAUUUGUCUGAAUAUUUUUUUAUCAUGCCUAAUGCACCUAUUAUGAUAGGAAUUGUUUUUGCUUUUAGAUUCCACAUUCCGGUUACAUCUAUUUCCAGGUCUUUGUAUUUUGAAAGUUUCUCCAUUUCUUUUAGAGACACGUUGUCAUCCGCUGGUAUUGAUACAUCAAUUAGAAAACAUUUUUUCUUCAUGAUCUCUGACAACUAUAUCUGGUCUGUUGGCCUUAAUUUCUCUAUCUGUGAGUAUUGGCAUAUCCCAGAGUAUGGUUGCUUUCUCGUUUUCUGUGACCUUUUCUGGUGUGUGCCUAUACCAUCUUUUUUCUGUUGUUAUUCCAUAAUGUUGGCAUAAUUUCCAGUGUAUAUAGGUCCCAACUCUGUCGUGUCUGUGAAUAUAUUCCUUCUUAGCCAGGACUGGGCAGCCAGAGAUAAUAUGAUUUAUUGUUUCUUGUCCAUCUCCACAUAUUCUGCAGUUACUUGUUAUAUUUCUUUUCAUUACAUGUUUUUGGUAAUUUCUGGUGGGGAGGCUUUGGUCUUGUGCUGAAAAUUAAAAAUCCUUCUGUCUCUGCUUUGAGUCUUGAGCUUCUCAACCAUUGUUGGGAUUUUUCUUUGUCUAUUUCUUUUGCAUUUAGUUUAGUCCAGUAUUUGCCAUGAAGGGGCUUUUUUGCCAUCGUUUUAUCAUGGUUCUUUGCUGUUCUAUUUUUAGUUUAGAUUUCAUUUGUUUUAUAACUUUUGUUGUUUCUUCACCUUCUUCUUCAUAUUUGUUAGGUGGUAUGAUUUCUUGUUUGUAUUUGUCAGCUUCCUUAAAUACUGAGAACAGUUUAUUGUUUUGCUCGUGUUUUGCCACUAUUUGUAUCAGUUUUCCUUCCUUCUGAAGUAGAUAUUUUUGCAGUCCUAUGGUGGUUAUUUUAUAGUAGUUUUCCAGCUGUAUAAGGCCUCUACCACCAUCUAUACGUUGUAUAUAUAGCCUUUCUAUGUCAGAUUUUGGGUGAUGCAUCCUAGAUCCUGUCAUUAUUUUUCUUGUUUUCCUAUCUAUUUUGGUCAGUUUAUUUAGUGUCCAGUUAAGGAUAUUGUGGCUGUAACUUAUAACUGGGACGGCUAAAGUGUUGAUACCUAUUAUCUUGUUUUUAGCAUUGAGCUCUGUUUUCAGUAUUGAUCUAACUCGUCUAUAAUAUUCUUUUUUUAUUUUCUCUUUCAUUUGUGUGUGUUGUGUCUUAUCUAGUUCAUGGAUUCCUAAGUAUUUGUAAGUUUGGCUUUGGUCUAAUUCUUUUAUUUCAUUGGUUUUAUCUAGUGUGAUGUUGCUACUCUUAACUAGUUUUCCUCUUUUCAGGGUUACUUUGGCGCAUUUCUCUAAUCCAAAUUUCAUAUCUAUUUCUUUGGUAAAUCCAUGAACUGUCUUUAGUAGUGUUUCCAGCUGUUUGUCAUUUGUAGCGUAUAGUUUUAGGUCAUCCAUAUAUAAAAGGUGGCUGACCUUUUUGCCGUAACAUUUAUAUCCGCAUCCAGUUCUGUUUAGCAUAUCCGAUAGAGGUGACAGUGCCAAGCAGAAAAGGAGUGGAGAGAGCGUAUCUCCCUGGAAUAUUCCUCUUCUAAUGGGGAUGGCUUUGGUUUUCAUGAGUCCCUCUUUUGUUUGGAGCUGUAGCACUGUUUGCCAUUUAUUCAUAGUGUCCUAUGUACUAUAUAAUUGUUGGUGCAACUUUUUUCAUGGCUAGUGUUUCGUGAAUUCAUGUGUGGGGGAUGCUAUCAAACGCGUUUUUGUAGUCGAUCCAUAUUAUUAUUAUUAUUAUUAUUAUUAUUAUUAUUAUUAUUAUUAUUAUUACAUAAAUAUAUAUGUAUAUAUAUAUAUAUAUAUAUAUAUAUAUAUAUACAUACAUAUAUAUAUAUAUAUAUAUAUAUAUAUAUAUAUAUAUAUAUAUAUAUGUAUGUAUAUAUGUAUGUAUAUAUGCGUGUCUUUGUGUUGGUGUCUCUUCUCUGCCACCGCUUGAUAACUGGUGCUGUUUCUUUACAUCUUCGUAACUUCGAUGCUAAUCCUAAAAGACCGACAGAAUAAGUACAAGUCUAAAAAAAUAAGAACUGGGGUCUAUCAUUUGUUCGAAUAACACCGUUUUAUCUUUUACUGAAGCGAGUAAAAGAUAAAAGAUGAAGAAAGAUACCAAAAUGCUGCAGGAUAUAUUAUUAAUUAACUACCGGAUUCAUUAAUACUUUAAAUAAAUAAAUUCACUCGAGUUUGGAUUAAUUGCAUUAAAAAUACGCUGAAGAGUUUUCAAUUGGUUCAGAAAUAUUGAUUUACUCGGAGUUGUUGAAUCCAAGCAGUUCAGAAUUAGUUCAAUUUGAACUUUAUGAAAAUAAACUAAAGAAAUACAGAAUCGAAAACUAAAAUUUAUUCUUUGAAUUUUUCUUAAUUGGAAAACAUGGUUUGUUUGUUUUAAAUUUUUAAUCAAAAUACAGUAGGAAUUUAUAUAACCACUCUAAAUGAAUUAUUUUUCCAAUCAAAAAUUUUCUUCGGUGCUUAUUGCUAUGCUUGCAGUAUCUAACAUUUUUAGUUCCUCUGUCAGAAGUUAAAUGGAAAGAACAAAUUUUUGUAGUUUCCGCAUUGGGAAAAAAUGUACAAUUGACUAUGGGGAAAAUACUCUAUUAGAAAUUAUUAGAAAAAUGAUAUGGCUUGCGACGUAUGUACUAAAUAGAUAUGCCAUAUGCAAAAUUGAACAAAAACCUACCGAAUAAUUUGAAUCAUACACGCUUGUUUACAUUUAAGUAUAUAUAUAUAUAUAUAUAUAUAUAUAUAUAUAUAUAUAUAUAUAUAUAUAACGAGAGAGAGAGCGAGAGAGAGCGAGAGAGAGCGAGAGAGAGAGACAGACAAGAUUUAUGUCGGCCUCUGAGCAGGUAUCGCCAUGACAACUUUCUCUCUGUCAUGGUCAAUGCGACGAUCACACGCUACACACGUUCCUUCUAUGCAUUGCUGUAAACAGUGGAUGUGAGCCAGAAAAUUCAAACUUAGUGCGCAUGCACAGCUGUGUUUGCGGAGCGGCUUCACACUGUGUGUUUUAGAUUCGUUACUAUGGCAAUUGUCAUGACAGACCUUGUACGUAUUUUUGUGUGUCAAGCUGGGAAUGGUCGAAGCCGAAUAACCAGGAGUGUCAUAGAUGGAAUUACGUGUAUUACGCACAGGAACAACUGCUGAAGGAAUUGUAUGUAAAUUCUAAAUAUACGGUUUUGUGCCUGUAUCUGCACAUGUAUGCGUUCGCAUAACAAACGCGUUAGUUAUUAUUAAUAUGGGUGUGUAUGCAUGUGUAUGUGUAUUUAUGCAUGUAUAUAUGUAUAUAUAUAUAUAUAUAUAUAUGUGUGUGUGUGUGUGUGUGUGUGUGUGUGUGUGUGUGUGUGUGUGUGCGUGUGUGUAUUUGAUGUUGAUAAUAUGUAAGUCUCACUAUGUACGUGUUUAAACCGCGAGUAUACGUGUGCAAAAUAAGUGAUCAAGUUGCAUAAGUGUCUUUUUGGUUGCAUGUGUAUAGGGAUGUGUAUGUCAAUGUAUAGAUCAUGUGUAUGUCAGAUGAUGAUGUGCCGGAUAAUGAAAAGAAUGAAUCAUGAAGUGAAAUGUUGAAGAGUGAAAGUAAGUUUCUAUUCGCAUUGGAGCUGUGAAACUGAGAAGCGCUGCGUAGGUGUAUACCAAAUAUAAAUAUACGUCAUAUAAAAUAAUUCAAAGUGUAGAGAUGACGUGCAACAGACAUUUCAUUACGAAGAUAGUCGUGAAGAGGGUGAUAAGGGGUGUCCAGUUGGAUAUGGACUGUAGGGAAGGACUGUUGAUAAGUACGGUACAUAGAUUGUAGGUGAGUUUAGGUAAUAGAAAGAUUGGUUCGGAAACAUGUCAGAAGUUGUGUGGAUGAUUUGGAGAAUUCAGUAUGUGUGCAUAGUAUAGUGUAAUAGUGAGGUAGUAAAGACUGAUGAUAUAUGAUAUAAAUAAAAGGUUGUCGUGGUGUGGGCUGAUGUUGUGCGAGAGGGUAGACGUGUGAUCACAGAUGCUGGUUAUGGCAGUGCUGUAAAAGGUGGGAAAAUGUGUUGAGUGAAGUGCAAUUGUAUCGCAAAAUUAUGUUCAAUGCUACAGAAUUGAGAACUGGAGAAGUGUUUAGUAUGGAGGAGAUGGGAUAUAUAUAUAUAUAUAUAUAUAUAUAUAUAUAUAUAUAUAUACACAUAUAUAUAUAUAUAUACAUGCAUGCAUGGAUGCAUGCAUACAUACAUAUAUACAUACAUAACUACAUACAUACAUACAUACAUACAUACAUACAUACAUACAUGCAUACAUACAUACAUCGAGUUUCUGCAUAUUCCUGUCUAGUAAAUUCCACGCAAAUUUUAUUGGUCAACUCGAGGCCAGAAGAGUGGACACCUGCCAAACGUUCCAUGCUGUGUAAUCGAACAGGGAACCACAUGCAUGGGAAAAGAAAUUGCAAACCACAUAGCCAUGCCGCCCUCCAUUCCAUACCUACAUAUGAAGUCCGUAUACAAAUGGAGAGGAAGUAAUAUAGUUCAAAUAAGACAUAACUAUUGAGACAAUUUAAGCAGUAGUUAAAACCAUGAUGUCUGCUAAGCUACCAGGUAGAUUGCAUCUAGUUACAAGUGAAGAACCUUGUCAUUAUGUUUCCGGCAAAUGCAGAAGUUCUUGUGAGUACAAUUAGUUAGACGAUAUUUCGUUUUGACCGAACAAAACAUGACGGCAUUAAUUGUUAUCUAAAUACCAUGGUUUUAUAUUUGUUUUCCAUACAACUACUUCAGCGCAGAUACCUCUAGUCUGUCAAUUCACUUCAAUGAGUAUUCUAAUUAGAAGCAAUAAAUAUUCCAAUUAGAGCAAUAAAUAUUACAUUUAUUAAUUACUGAAGAGAAUAUAUUAAAUAUAAAUGACAUUAUUGUUUCCCUCUUUCUUCUUGAGAAAUAAACAAAAUAAUGGAAGAUGCAUGCGUGUGUGAUUAGUAAAAUGUGAGUAUAUAUGCAUGUUUGCCUGUGAUGGGAAUUUUGUUUAAAACAAUUAAAAAUAAUGAAUGAAGUAGAAGUGUUUGUGUGCGUCUUCCUGGUUAGUUUCAUAGAAUCUUCUACAGUUCCACUCAGUCUGUCUCAUAACGAUUUACAAUGAGAAACUGCUGAAAGCUCUUCUAACAUUCCAUAUCUUGAAUUUUACUGGUCAAUGUAUAUCUGUGUAUAACCAUACAAUGCGUGCUCGAAAGUAGUCGACAAAAUAGACACAUGCUUUUGCAAGUUUAGAUGAUUUUACAAUGCAGUUAUUAAUCAAACUUCUAAGGCGACAUUGAUUUCAAACUGAGGCACAAAACCAGGAAUUUCGGGGAAUGGAGUAAGUCGAUUAUAUUGGCCCCAGUGCUCAACUCAUGCUUAUUUUAUUGACCCCAAAAGGAUAAAAAGCAGAAUCAACUUUGGCUGAAUUUGAACUCAGAAUUUAAAGACAGACGAAAUGCUGCUAAGUAUUUUACCCGAAGACUAAAGAUUUUGCCUGCUCACCGCCUUACCAUUAAGGCGAUAUUAAUGCCGACAUGUUGGCGCUUUUAACUAACUUCCUGCCUGCCUUUGGAUAUCAUACAGCAACAUGUUUUCAAUUCUUAAAUCACUGUCAUUAAAGAUCACAAGUUUCAUUAAUAAAGCUGUUUAAGUAAAUUUAAGAAAAACACUUCCUAAAAGUUGACGAUCGUCCUGCGUCCAUCGAUGUGACUUGAAUAUUUCUUUGGUGAAAUUCCAUCUCUGCUUCCGACAUUUUGUGAUGACAAAGAAAUAAUAUUUCUCGCAUCUACAGAAAUACUAUUAAUUGUCAUAUUUAUAUCUUUAUCAGAGCAUAUAAAUCUAUAUGAAUAAGGAUAAGAUCGAUAGUUAAAUACCAGCAUGGGAAUAAAAACCUUCAAAGGUAAUAAUUAUUUAAAAUUAUAAUCUAGGGCAUCUAAUAGAUACCAUCACGCUGGAAAUAGUAGUCAAAACUUCACUCUAAAACUACAUUAAAUGUUCAUACAUGAAAUGUUCUUUAUCAGAGUAUUUAGACUCACAUGAAAAGAACAAGUGCCAAUGAGGAAGAAGCAUACUCUGUUCGUGCCCAACUUCACGAAUGAGGCUUCCUCGAAAUGCAAACCACUACAGAUGAAAUAGAAGCAAAGAACUAGAUAAAACUGAACACACGAAAUGAUGACAACGUGCUAAAUGAGGGAAACAUCAAUUGUCAGAGUGCAAUGUCUUUAAAAGUUGUGAUUUUAAUAAUUCACACACAUGCAAAUACAUGUGUACAUAUGUACACACAUACACACAUAUGCAUACGUGUAUAUAUAUAUUUAUAUAUAUAUAUAUAUAUAUAUAUAUAUAUAUACUAGCAUUAAAGACCCGUCGUUGCCGGGUCAUAGUGCUAGUGCAUGUAUAUAUGUGUAUAUAUAUGUGUACAUAUUACAUGUAUAUCUAUAUAUAUAUAUACAUCUACACAUAAAAUACAAAAUACAAAGUUAUAUCUUGAUAUCGCUAGUGAUAACAAUACUCAAAAUAUAUAACAGACUGGAAUUGUUAGCCCGUCUCUUGUAAUUUCGAUCAAUUGUAUCUUGUCCUCCCUCUUGUAUAGAAGUGUGGCUACAAUCCAAGCCUACCUCUACUUCUGGGGGGGGGGGGGCAUUAAAAAUUUUUUCCGGGACGUCCCACGUCCCAGAUAUAAAGGUAAAAAUAGAAUAUUUCCCCUUAGCAAGUUCGAUUCGAGUACUCCCUUGCACGCUCCGCUGACUCGAACCUUGCUUCUAUUGUGCCGAAUUUACCGCCUCUGAUUAGAUAUCUUUCAUAGUCGCACCAAGACACUUUUCGAAGGUGAUUUCCUCCAUGUGUUCAAAUCUUCUUUUUUCUCUACAUUGUAUACUUUAUAGACAAUAGUCUUUUCUUUAAUUUAAUGUUUUAUUAUUCAUCUGGACUAUUCCAUUUCUGCACGCUAAUUUUAUUUUUAAUUUAUUCCCAUUCAUGUGAAACCACUUAUACAAGUUAAAGUCAUUGAUGCAAUUUUAUACCAAUUGCUAUUUUUACUUUUGUUAUGUUACGAUUAUAUUAUACUUUAGUUUGAUUUUAAUUAUUACUUACUACAUAUAAUUCAAUUGUUAUUAUUAUUUUUAUUGUUAAAGUGAAAGUAUCUGACAUAAAAUAGAGAAACGUUUUUGUUUCACUUUUAACACGUAAUACUGAAAUAGUGGAGAAGAUAUGAUAUUGCUAUGGGCUCGCUCUAGGCAAGACGUUGAACAUUUUUUUGCCCAUGAAACUACAUGGACCCUAAGUAAGGCAUGUGUAAAAUUUGAAUGGAAUUGGUUGUGUAGUUCUCAAGUUUUAGGGAAUCGUAGUGGACAAGAUAUGAUAUUGCUGUGGGCUCGCCCUAGGCAAAAAGUUAAAAAUUAUUUUUGCCGAAGACACUCCCCGUACCCUAAGUAAGGCAUGUGUAAAAUUUAAAUGAAAUUGGUUGUGUAGUUCUCAAGUUUUAGGGAAACAGACAGACAGACAGACACACAUUCUCCGUUUUAUAUAUAUAAAGAUAUAUAUAUGGUUAAUCCAAACAAGAAAGCACAAAAAAACACAACAACGCGAGGACGUGGAACAAAUAUAGUAUUAUUGGACGCUCAGGAAAGAAGGAAAGAAGGAGGGUUUAACGUUUUGAGCGGAGCUCUGCGUCGGAAACAUAGGAGAAGGAAAGAUCCAGAGAAGGGAAGACAGAGGGAAAAAAUCGCCAACGGUACUCACGCGGUCACAUUUUGAAUAUAGAUAUAUAUGUGUGUGUGUAAAUAUAGAUAUAUGUACAUAUAUAUAUGUAAAUAUAUAUAUAUAUGUGUGUGUAAAUAUAUAUAUAUACACACACACACUCACUCUCAUAUUUUGCGUCUUGUUUAUUUUGUUUGUACAAUUAAACUUUCUCUCUCUCUCUUUAUAUAUAUAUUAUAUAUAUAUAUAUAUAUAUAUAUAUAUAUAUAUAUAUAUAUAUAUAUAUAUAUGCACGCACAUACAUACACAGACGAAGAUAUGUGGAUGUGGUUUUGUAAACAAAUGUGUGUGAAAGGUGUGCACUUGUAUAUGAAGAGGAACCGGAAGACUGGGCGGUGAUUGGUUAAUCAUUUUAGAAAACAAUUGCUGAGUGUCCGACUCAACCCCACUGGAUUGUUCAAGCUUGUUUCCCAUCACUACAUCUCUCCAGAUUUCACCUACCUGCAAUCGAUCGUUUGUUGGAUAAAACAACAGCACAGCACAACCGCCUCUAAGAAAUCAUCAUGCACAACAGUUAAUCUCUCACUGAAACAGAGUUGCCUUGGUCAGCAUCAGUAACCUAAACGCGUUCUUCUAAAACCACACCACACAUAAUCAUACACCCAUGCAUAAAGAUAGAUGCAUUCCACUCCUGCUCAUGAUCAAUACAUCCACGAAACCGCAGGUAUACGCUAUUAUGCUUUGUUCAUACCACCAACACGUUUAUUCGCUGUUAUACUCACACAUGCACAUUCACACAUUAACACAAUUUUCUCCAUGCGCUUGAUUUGUUACUGAAUCUUUUACACAUACACAAUAUAGCUCACUACACUUUGCUAUGUUUAGGUUUCUCAGCACACGCAUCCACUCUCCCUUCCUCCUAUCUCUCUUGACAACGGACAGCUGUGCAAAACGUUGAUUUCAAUUUCUUACCUUUCAACCUCAUCGUAAACACAUUGACUUUGUAGUACUUUUUUAAUGUAAUAUACUUUAACAGAGCUAGAAUUGUCUAGGUUACUAGCGUUUGAUUUAGCUAAUCAAAAACACCUAUAUAUAUAUAAAUAUACAUUGGUAACAUUUUUUACCACUAUAAAAUAGCUGUUCUAUAUUUUAACCCCAGGAAAGCAGCUUUCCCAGCUGGUUAACGACUCACAACCCGUGUUCGAUAUAUUGUAAGGGACCAAGUCACUCCCCUCUAGCUUGGCAAGACCAGUAGACUACGGUUUCUGGGUCUUUACCGGUCAUGGGUACUGGAUACCUGCCUGCUAGAGAUGGCAGUCAAUCGUGCCUACUCACAAUAUAUAAACAGAGAAGCGGUAGGCAGCUGCUGAUCUCGUAACGAGCAAAGUAUCUAGUUUUAAAAUCUCUAAACGAAAUAAAAGUAGUAACACUACUAGAUGGUGACAUAUUUUUUUUGCCACUAUAACAUGGCUGUUCUAUACAGAAAAUAUCUUUUCCGGCUAUUGGGUUGUCCGGAAAGUUAGUGCCGAUUUUUAAAGGAAAGAAAAAGAUCAAUAAAUACUUGCCAUUACAUUUUUAAUCAACCAAAUAUGAACCAUUUUGUUGCACAAUGCAUCUCCAUCUUUUCUUUAACUUGAAUGACCACCCUCCCUUUACAUAACUCCCUGUCCCCCUACAUGGCCUAGCUUUUGCUUUUUGAACCAAUAAAAAUUUAAUUGGAUUGAAAAUACCCUUUCCCCAGAAUUGAGGUGGUUUCAUGGCAAAGAAUUCAUCAUGGUAUCUUUUUACGUCAUCCAAGGAAUUGAAAUUUUUACCAUUGAGACUAUUCUGCAGAGACCUGAAUAAGUGGAAAUCCGAAGGAGCAAUAUCUGGUGAAUAUGGAGGGUGAGGUAAGAUAAGCUACUAUAAAUCGGCACGAACUUUCCGGACAAUUCAAUAUUUAACGACACACAACCUGCGUUCGAUAUAUUGUGAUGAGUAAGGGAGCGAAUCACUCACCUCCAGAUUAGUAAGACUAGUAGACCAUGGUUUCUGGAUCUUUAUCCGUCAACGGUACUGGAAACCUGCCUGCUGGAAAAGACGUUUUCCUGGGGUUAAAAUGUAGUAACACAGUUCUGUAUAGAACAGCCAUGUUAUAGUGGUAGAAAAAUGUUACCGUCUAAUAUUCUUACUACUAAUAUCUCGUUUAGUAAUUUUCGAACUAGCUACUUCGCUCGUUGUAUACUCUCUUACUCUUUUAGUUGUUUCAAUUUUUUUUAUUGUGGCCAUGCUGGAGCACCACCUUGAGUCGAGCAAAUCGACCCCAGGACUUAUUCAAUGUAAGCCUAGUAUAUAUUUUAUCGCUCUCUUUUGCCGAACCGCUAAGUUACGGGGACGUAAACACACCAACAUCGGUUGUCAGACGAUGUUGGGGGAACAAACACAAACACACCAACAUAUACGCACACAUACACACACACACACACACACACACACACACACACACAUAUAUAUAUAUAUAUAUAUAUAUAUAUAUAUAUAUAUAUAUAUAUAUAUAUGUAUGUAUGUAUAUAUAUAUACGACGGGCUUCUUUCAAUUUCCGUCUGCCAAAUCCACUCACAAGUCUUUUUUCGGGCCGAGGCCAUAGUAGAAGACACGUGCCCAAGGUGCCACGCAGUGGGACUGAACCCGGAACCAUGUGGUUGGUAAGCAAGCUACUUACCACACAGUCACUCCUGCGCCUAUAUAUAUUCUUUUGUCAUUUGACUUGUUUCAGUCUUUGGACUACCUCUGUACUUAAUCACAGCCUUGACGGGUUUUUUGUCGAACGAUUUGGCCCCAGUACUUAUUAUAAUUUUAUAUUUUAAGCCUGGUACUUAUUCAAAUGAUGCUUUUGCCGAAUUGCUAAGUAAUUCCAAAACCUUUUUCGAAUACAAUAUGACCACCAUAGACAUGGCCAAUUUCUUCUCAGAGCCUCUCUUAUUGUUGCUUCAACUGUUUCGGCAUCACUAAACAGACCCUCUAAUUGCAUACGCACACACACACAUACACACACGCGCACAAUACACACACACACACGCAUACACACACGCAUACACACAAACACACACAUACUUUCUCCCGAACUGUAUGACCUAGAAACCCUUUUAAUUCAUGCUUUUGCUUUUCUUACUGGCAUCAGUAUUCAGAUUUUUAUCCUGAACAUAAAUCGUACAAUGCCCAUUAAUCUGUAGCACCCAAAAUUGUAUACGUGACAUUUCUUCUUUGCUUACAAAAUACAAAGAUGUUAUCUUCCUUGGCAUUUUUUUCUAUUUGCUAUAUGCAGUUUUGAUUCUUUCCUACAUAUUUUCUCUGUACGAGACAGGGAGAGAGAAUGAGGAAGAGGAGGAGGAGGAGGAGGAGGAGGAGGAAGAGGAGGAGGAGGAGGAGGAGGAGGAGGAGGAGGAGGAGGAGGAGAGAGAGAAAAUGCAAAAGAAAGGCAGAGUAAGCGUGUAAUUCAUUAUUGAGUGUUCCAAUCCUGGACAAGGCAGCAUUCAGUAUAAUAUGUUAAAGAUAGUGAAUGAAAAUAUGUUACAGUGCGAACCUUUGCGUCCAUUGAAUAGAUAGGAAGGUAGUAAGACAACAAAGUAGUAUUGAAUACAUUUGAAUCUUCACGUUAAGCACUGCCAAAGCAAACUAAGAAAACAAAAAGAAAUAUAUGGCAAUACUGAAGUAUGUCGAAAUCAUGGAACCUUUCACUCUACAAAGAAGAUACCGUUUUUGAAAGAAACCAAAGUUCUUUGCUAUAUAUAAUUCAAGUAAGGGUUCGUCGACUUGUUUUUAUUUUCGAAUUCAAGCCAUUCUAGAAGUAUCCCACUACAAGUAUCCACUAGAAGUAUCCCUCUGCAAGGAUAUCUCAAUGAAAGGUCUAUAAAUAUGUAAUAAAUUUUAUUUAGGUUUAUUCAUGUGCCUCAUGUUAUUCCAGGCUGACGAUUUUAAAUAAGACUAAAAUGGCACUACGUCUGGUUAUCUGUGACUAAAAACUUUAAGAUCUUUGUAAUGAGUAAAAACAAAAGGAAAAAAUUAGAUAUGUAUAUUUUUUGCAUCUUCGUAUUUGCUAUUCGAUAUCAUAUUCAAACUGUUAAUACCGCCAUCUUUGGUCUGCAAAAUAUUACGUCCCUUAUAAUCACUAGAGCGUACCACGCGUUUAACUUUCUAAAUUAUUUUUUGUAGAAUUUUUCAGUAAGAAGUACCAAAGAUACCGUCUUCUCCAUCUGGAAUUAAGACCCAGUACUGUUAGAAUUUGGGUUUCAAGGGUCCAGAAAUGUUCAGCAGAAGAUAUACAACCACAGAGAUUCGCGAGAUGCAGAAGUGGAAGUCUUCAAAGAGCGUCUGGACAAAUUUUUAUCUCAGAUACCAGAUGAACUCACAUCGCAGCCGGAGGCACAAAGAAAAGCAUCUCUGUCCAAUUCCCUAUUUCACCAGAACAAUGUUGAAAAGAAAUCCAAACACACUGAAAGGUAGUGCACUAGCAUGACCUCAGCCUGUGGCUGAAACCAGUAGAAAAGCUUUAAAAAAGCUUAGCUUCCUGAGAAGAUUUUAGGGUGGGAAUUAUUAUCAAUUCCAAUAUAUGACUGAUACCUAUUCCAUCGACCCAGAAGGAUGAAAAAUGAAGUUGUUCCAUAUAAGAUUUGAAAUGAAGUGGUAAAAGAACCGGAGUAAACACGGAUUCGACAUCCCACCACUCUCUGCAAUGCCGUGGCAUAUUGAAUUUUUCAUGCGCACACACGCGCAUAUUAUACACACACAUGUAUACAUAUAUAUAUAUUUAGAAAGAGAGAGAGAGAGUGAGAUACAUACCUACAUACAUCUAUAUAUAUACAUACAUACAUACAUACAUACAUACAUACAUACAUACAUACAUACAUACAUACAUACAUACAUACAUAUAUAUAUAUAUAUAUAUAUAUACAUUUCUCGAAAAUGAAUAGACAUAUAAUGGCAACUAACACCAAAUUAUAUCCGAUUUCUAUCAUCAUAAUAACGCUUCAUACAGUGUGCUAUAAGAUAAGAUGAAAUAAUAUAUAAUACAAUAUAAUAUAAUAUAAUAUAAUAUAAUAUAAUAUAAUAUAAUAUAAUAUAAUAUAAUGUAAUAUGAUAUAAUGUAAUAUAAUAUAAUAAAAGAGAAUACGAUAUAAGAUAAUAUCAUAAAACAGAAUGUUAUUUCAAGAUAUUUUAGAUCUCAAUAAAGUAAAACUGCACCAUUUCGGUAAGUUUGUUAUGGAUAUUGAAAUACAAUUCGUUAAUACGUUAGAUAUUUCAGGAAUAUUAUAUGCUAAGAUAAGAUGCCUAAUAAGUCUUUGUAUUCACUGAGCCUUCGACAGAUAUACAAAGGAUUAAUUUCUAUGUUAUAUUUUGGUAGCUGAUCACAUGUCCUUGUAUAUAUAUUCAAUAAACUGUUGUGUUAACAGUUCCGGUGCUUCUAUAUAGUCUGCAUGGUGUGUUGGAGAUAUCUAGACUAGCGUUUCUAAGUGUUUUUAUAUAUUCUGCUCGAAUCAUAAGGCUGUUGCGUCUUUCGUUUCAGUAACAAGUCAAAUAUUUUUGUUUCAUCUUUAUACUUCUGUUACGGAUCUAAUACUUACAUACACGCACUUAUACGUGGACCACACAUACACACAUACUAUAUUAAUAUACUGUGAUAUUCAUAUACAUACAAUAUAUAUAUAUAUAUAUAUAUAUAUAUAUAUAUAUAUAUAUAAUAAUAAUAAUAAUAUUAGAGAGUAUGACUCCAAACUUACAGGGAAAAAUUAGAUUUAGGAUUAAAUCAAAUUUCACAGUAUGAAUAUAUAAAAUACGAAUUAGAGAUAAAACCACGAUUAGGCAACACAAACAGUGAUAGACAUAAACCGAUACAUAAAUAACAAAUAAUGUAAAUAUAGUUUAAUAUAGUAUAUACUAUAUAUAUAUAACAUUUCAAAUUUUACUUAUUAUAUUAUAUUUAUUACUUAUAUUAUAUUUAUCAUUCUUUUUAUACUAAAAAAAUUAAUUUAAAUUUUAAAUUUUUUAUAUAUAUAUAAAAGUAAAGACCCCCUUCGGUCAUGAAUGACCAUGGGAUUGCACCUAGAAAGUUACCCUCCUAGACACAAGUCUGGGCAAGGUUGUUUUUUUUUAUGGAAGGCCAGCAGUCGCCCAUGCAUACCAGCCUCCCCUCUCCACGCCACCAGUGUUAUCCAAGGGAAAGACAAAGGUCGAUACAGCUUGGCACCAGUGACGUCGCAACUCAUUUCUACAGCUGAGUGAACUGGAGCAACGUGAAAUAAAGUGCCUUGCUCGAGAACACAACACGCAGCCCGGUCCGGGAUUCGAGCUCACAACCUCACGAUCGUAAGCUCGACGCUCUAACCACUGAGCCAUGCGCCUUCACUGUAUAUAUAUAUAUAUAUAUAUAUAUAUAUAUAUAUAUAUAUAUAUAUAUAUAUAUAUAUAUAUAUAUAUAUAUAUAUAUAUAUAUAUAUAUAUAUAUAUAUAUAUAUAUAUAUAUAUAUAUAUAUAUAUAUAUAUAUAUAUAUAUAUAUAUAUAUAUAUAUAUAUAUAUAUGUAUAUAUGUGAAAAGGAACACACGAGUUGAUAUAUAUGAAAAAACAAGUAAAAAAUAGAAAAUGCUAAAAUAAUUUUAUAGUAUAGUAUAUAUAUAUAUAUAUAUAGAAGAAAAGUUUUUUAUAUAUAGUAUAUAUGUAUUCUGCCUUCUUGACUCCCUUGUUUGCACUUGUGUGUUCGAGGUAGUUGUGAGUUCUGUAGGUAGUAGAGGAAGGCUGGUGAGGAAAGGGUGGGAGAAUCUGGAGUGCCCUGAUGGUCGUAUUUUGAAUGGUCAGUGGCGGCUGGCAGUCUAUAUAUAUAUUAUAUAUACUAAAAAACAUUAGUGACAAACUUAAGGGGUAGGGGUGAGAAGAAGAAGAAGAAGAAGAAGAAGGAGAAGGAGAAGAUGAUGGUGAUGGUGGUGAUGAUUAUGACGACGAUGAUGAUGAUAACGAUGAUGAUGAAGAAGAAGAAGAAGAAGAAGAAGAAGAAGAAGAAGAGAAGGAGAAGAUGGUGGUGAUGAUGAUGACGCCGAUGAUGAUGAUAACGAUAUAUAUAAUAUAUACAUAGGUCUCAAAAUGACCGAAACCGGUAUGAAAUGUUCACUAUAAAAUAUAUAUAUGAUAUAUUAUAUUAAUUAUAUUUAUAUUAUUUGUUAUUUAUGCAUUGGUUUACGUCUAUCACUGUUUGAGUCGCCUAUUAGUGGUUUUAUCUGUAAUUCAUAUUUUAUAUAUAAAUAUAUAUAUUUAUAUAUAUAUAUAUAUGAAUAUAAAUAUAUAUAUAUAUAUAUAUAUAUAGGGAGAUGGACUCGCAUAGCAAGUGAUUUGAUCUGAGAUCGUGUGCUGAAACGAAAACAAUUGCAGCGUGGAAGGUGUUUGUAAGCCAUUUAAGAAACACAAAAGCCGUUCGAUUCACUUAGAUAGAUAGAUAGAUAGAUAGAUAGAUAGAUAGAUAGAUAGAUAGAUAGAUAGAUAGAUAGAUAGAUAGAUAGAUAGAUAGAUAGAUAGGUAGAUGUGAUUUUACAAACAGUAUUUUCUAGCAAACCCAAUACUAUAUUAGAGCAAACAGUUAUAGAUAUCCUCAGCUAGUCUACAAUUUUUAAAGAUCUUCCUUUUUUACUCCUACGCUACUACUAAUGUUGGCCGCCGAUUAUUUGCAGUGAAAUGCUCCAUUUGUGCAUUUAUACUUGAAACAGCUGUAAGGAAGCUAUCUGCGCACUCCCUUCCUUCCACCUUUCUCCUGAUCCAUCUUUGGAUUGUAGCUUUACCUAAUUACUAUAAUUCGGACGUAUCGUAUAACUAUUUCAGAAGAAUACUAGGAUAUGCCGUAAUCAUUAUGAAAAGUCUUCAACUGAUCUUAUUAACCUCUUGUGGUCUAUCCUUCUGUAGCGUUCAUUUCUUCCCUCAAGCUGCUUCAAUGUUUAGAUAUAUAGAUGUCAUGCUCUGACCUCGUAGCAUUUGUUUGCUUGUUUUAUACUUUUAUUCUACAUGUAAUUUGCUCAGUUAGAAAGACCGCAUGAACUAAAAGUUGGAGGGGAUAGGAUAAAAUACCUGCAUCAACUUGCUAUAAAAGCAGGUAGUAAUUUUACCUUGUCCUUAUACAUAGUGCAAGAUUUGAAGAGUGCAGUUAUUAUUUCAAAGCUGUAAUGGAAGUGACAAAGGAGCAUAUUCGGCAUAAUUUGCUUUAUGAGUUCAAUAAAAGCAACAACGCAAUGAGAAUGUGCGAGGAAUAUUAAUGCAAGGUAUGGGAGUCGGACAAUAAACGUAAGCCAGUGUCAAAGGUGGUUCCAGAAAUUCCGAGCCGGAAACUACAGCCUAGAAGACGAGCCUCGUCCUGGAAGAUAUGUAAAGCUCGACGAGGACGUCCUGCAAACCCUGGUGGAACAGAAUCCCAACGUGACUAUUGAAGAACUAGCAGAGAAGCUUGGAUUUGGUCAUUCAACCAUUCAUACACCUGCCUGGCAUCGGGAAAAGUCAGCAAAUUAGGGCAAUAGGUUCCUCACAAACAUACCGAGUCUAAUCGCUCGCAGAGAGUGAAUGUGUGCUCUUCUUUGCUCACAUCUCACGAAUGAACCUUUUUUUUUUUUUUGGACCGAAUAGUGACUAGUAAUGAGAAAUGGGUUCUCUAUAAAAAUGUCAAGCGCCGAAGACAGUGGAUAGGGAAAGGAGAAACACCGGCACCCCAGGCUAAAGAAGGUCUUCACCCACGUAAGGUGUUGUUAUCUGUUUGGUGGGAUAUGAAAAGUUUAGUCCACAUUCAACUCUUUUAAACCCAAACCAAACGAUAAAAAAGAUCUACUUGUGAGAAGGUUGAACGGCUUAAGUUAGCAUUAGAAGAAAAACGACCAUCUUUGGUUUCAAGACGAAAGGUGUUCUUCCAUCAGGAUAAUGCUCGACCACAUACAACGAGGAUCACAUUUCAAAGGCUGGAGCAGUUUGAAUGGGAAAAGAUGACCACCCACCAUAUUCGACGAACAUUGUCUCAUCUGAUUAUCAUUUAUUCCGCAGUCUUCAAAAUCAUUUGGACGGAAAAAAUAUGAAUACUGUAGACGAAGUUAAAAACAGUACUGGGGGACUAUUUUUCGUCACGGACAAGUAAAUUUUUAAAGAGAGACCUUGCAAGUCUACCAGAUUGAUGGAAGAGCAUUCUAGAAAAUGAAGGAGAGUAUACUUUAGAUUAAAAAAGAACUUUGUUUAUCCAAAAUUUUGAAAAAUAAAAGCAGUGUAAAAAACCACAUUAUUUAUGGAAUGACACUAUAUAUAUAUAUAUAUAUUAAUAAAUAAAAUAAAACAUAUGCAUAUAUAUAAACAUAUAUGUACGUACCUACCUCUACAUGUACAUAUACACGCAUAUAUGAGUACAGGACACCAAAAAGGACGUCGAACACAAUGAGAAACGAAAACAUAGACACAAACCAAAGGAACUGGACAUUUAUUAAAAACACCAAAUAUAUAUAUACAUAUAUAUAUGGUAAAUGAAAGACGGAAAACGGAAGAUACGAGGAUUUUUAUUCAUCACUACACUUAUUUCGACACAUCUGGCAUCGAUCCCUCACAGAUGGGAUUCUUCUCUUCAGGUGAUAAAUAUAUAACUCGUUAAAAUAACGGUUUUGCAACGUAUCUUCACAUUUCGCGUAAAGAAAAGCAACAAAUUAAAGGAUAUAUCUUCAUUUGUAUAGAAGAUCAAUAAUAAAAUAACAGAUCCAAAAAAGAAACGAACACGCACUACAGCGAGAUAAGUAUUAAGAAUAACCGUUAGCGGAUAUGUAUGUAUAAACGUCCAAGCGUAAGUUGUAUGACGCAUGUACACUCGCUCAUACAAGCAUCCACGAAGAUGUAAGCAUACGCACAUAAGUUCUCAUAGCGCGUUAAAUAGCUGCUUGGUGUUUAUAAGAAUGGGGAGAUUUAAAGCUAAACAUUAUUAUUUCAUACCUUACAGUAAAUUAUCUUAACAGUUAUUCCCAUUGCAUCUAUUAUUCAGAGUUUCGUCCAAGACAAGGCUGUUCGCGACUGUAGGGCAGAUUAAACUGCUUAAGAUAUAAUGACGCUUUCAGAUUGGAUAGUUGUGGAUGAAUGAUGACUUCGAAGGCAAGCUGGCAGAAACGUUAGCACGCUGGGCGAAAUGCUUACUGGUAUUUCGUCUGCCGUUACGUUCUGAGUUCAAAUUCCACCGAGGUCGACUUUGCCUUUCAUCUCCCUUCGGGGGUCGAUUCAAUAAGUACCAGUUACGCACUGGGGUCAAUAUAAUCGAUUUAAUCCCUUUGUCUGUCUUUGUUUGUCCCCUCUGUGUUUAGUCUCCUGUGGGCAAUAAGGAAAUAUUGGGAUUAUACAAAAUUAGAUUACAUUAAUUAGAUAAAUUAAAAAUGUCUCGAACAAAGAUUGGUUCAGGUCAUGUAUAACUUAAUAACGCCAUCUGAUAAGAUUUGCUAAAUCCUCUUUAAGUCAAGUUUUGUGGUAUCAUGGCCCAUUCAAAUGGAAGGGUUCUUGUUGAGUGAGUUGUAUCCAGGUAUAGGUGGCUUAUCUGAUCUCCCUUGAAGAAAUUUGUUCAGAUUCCAUUUAAAGGUGAUGGGAUUGUUUUCCUCCUUAAUUUGUUUUGGGAGAAUGUUAAAUAGUGUAGGGCCGCUUAAGGGAAAGAAAUUUUGUUGCAGUGUAUUUAUGUGUUGUGAUCCCAAAUUGUGUAGGGGAUGUAUGGCACUUGGAUGAAUUCUGAAACUAAUGUUCAGUUCGUUUGGAAGUUGUUGGUGGUAUAUUCCCCACAUUAUGCAAAUGAUGUAUCGCUCACGGCGGCGCUGGGGAGAACAGAGUUUCAAUGCUUUAAGGCAAUAUUAGAAAGAUAUUAUUACGGUGUGUGUAAGUCAUUCCUUAAUUCAGUUCAAGCUAUGAGUUAUCUAUCGAUGUCAUUGCGGUUGUCAAAGGAAGACAAAAUUAUUGUGGAUCAGCCUUGUUUUGGUUCAAUCGAUGAGACUUAAUAGAUAUUUUUAGAGGAAAGCAAAGUUUUAGGGAUAGCUAAUUACUCUGGAAAUAAUCUUAAGGCUGGCUAUUGCUCACCCCGUCCCUCAAAUAAACUAACUUCAAGCAAUUUAAUCUGAACGCCCAAAUUUUAAUAUAAUAAACCUGUCUAGGCACUCUAAGCAACCUAUUGCGUUCUUUGUCAGAGAAUGCUGGGAACAUGCAGAAUAUAUUUUGAAAAUGCUUUACAACUCAUAUAUAUAGAUAGAUAGAUACGUGUGUAUAUAUAUAUAUAUAUAUAUAUAUAUAUAUAUAUAUAUAUAUAGGGAGAGACAGAGAGGCAGAGAGAGCGAGAGAGAGAUACACAUGCACCGUAAGAAUAUGUGUACUAAAUGUCAUCGUAGCAUAUGUCUAUAUAUCUUCUUUCCCACCGUUCCAAUAUGUGUGUAUGUAUGUAUGUAUGUAUGUAUGUAUGUAUGUGCGUGUAUUGAGGUAUAUAAACACACACACACUUAAAUAUGUACUUGAUUAAGUUCGCAUCAUUUUUGAGUUAGUUUCUGGGCGCGGGUACCUAUAUGUAUAGAACUAUCAAUUUUCAUUUAAAAUGGAAUAUACACAUACAUAGCUAUAUAGACACACGUAUGUGAAGAACUAACUAUAUACGUAAUUGGGUGAAGUAUUGAUUGGCUAUAAAUGAAAACAGACAAGUAGACAGCUUUGUGUACCUUCUCCUCUGUGCCUCUGCCAGCACCUGUAAGCGACACAGGCUCCAGUCAUGCGAUUACUGUAUUUGAAGUAGUCUAUAAAUAUCGCAAUAGCUAUCUAAUUAGAAACCUUAUGUCGAAAAAUACAUAUGCAGUCCACUUAGCAUUGCACAUAUGCACAUGCAGGUAAGUAUAGAUAGAUAGAUAGAUAGAUAGAUAGAUAGAUAGAUAGAUAGAUAGAUAGAUAGAUAGAUAGAUAGAUAGAUAGAUAGACAGACAGAGAGACAGACAGACUCACGCAGAUCUUCAUUGGCAUUACUCCACGUAUCCAUCCUAAACUUAUCUAUAUAUUACAUUCACGGAAGUUGCAUAUGUGUAAUACAUAGGUACCUACGUGUGUGUGUGUGUGUGUGUGUGUGUGUGUGUGUGUGUGUGUGUGCGUGCGUGCGUAUAUGUGCAUGCGUACAUGUGUGUUUCUUGUAUGAAAGCUGGGUGCGUAGGUAUACAGGUAAAAUAUUGAUAUCUUACAAGAACAAACAUUGUCGGGGAAUGAAUAGUUUUUUUUCCAGUUGACCCCAGUACUUUAUUGAUAGUUUUUUUGUUUUGUGUUGUUUUGUUUUGUAUUGCUUUUUCUUUUGUGGGGUGUAUCGCUCCUAUAAUCGAAUCGUACGUAGCAGGUUCGAACUCGAACAGUAAUGGUAUAUGAGUAAUAACCACAGGGCUAUUUUGCCAAAAUAUUUCACACGCAUAGUGUAUAAGGGCUUCUUGCUUCCAAGUCAGAUGGUUCUGGGUUCAGUCCCACAGCGUGACACCUGAGGCAAGUGUCGACCACGAGUCAAACAAAGCCUUGUGAGUAGAUUUAGCAGACGGAGACUGAAAGAAGCCCGUCUUCAAAAUUUAUAAAUAAAUGUGGGAGGGGGUGUCUCUGUGGCUGUUUGUCCUCCACAAGCGCUUGGCAACCGGUGUUGGUAUGCUCACGUCAUUAUAAACUAGCGGUUCGGCAAAAGUGACCGAUCGAGUAACUACUUGGCAUUAAAAACAAUUCAUGGGGUCGAUUUCUUCGACUAUAACCCUUCAAGGAGGUGCCCCAGCAUGGUCGCAGUGGGAAAUGGCUGAAACAAGUAACAAAGUAAAAGGUAAAAGAUAUAUAUAUAUGUAUGUAUGUAUGUAUGUAUAUGUAUAUAUAUAUAUAUGAGUGUGCGUGUAUAGUGUAUAUAACAUUAUUUUAUUCUUUUACUCGUGUCAAUCAUUGCGGCCAUGCUGGAGUACCACCUCUAGUCGAGCAAAUCGACCCCCAGGACUUAUUCUUUAUACUUAUUCUAUCGGCCUCUUAGGGCGAACCGCUAAGUUACGGGGACGUAAAUGCAUCAACAUCGGUAUCAAGCGAUGGUGGGGGGGGGGACAAACACAGACACACAAAUACACACACACACACACGCACACACACACACACGCACACACACACACAUAUGUAUGUAUAUGCUACGGGCUUCUUUCAGUUUCCGUCUGCCAAAUCCACUCAUAAGGAUUUGGUCGGCCCGAGGCUACAGUAGACGUCACCUUCCCAACGUGCUACGUAGUGGGACUGAACCCGGUAGCAUGUGGCUGGGAAGCAAGCUUCUUUAUUUCAUAUAAUUUGCCACAAGGGCAUUACACAGAGUAAGAAGCUUGUGGGCUGGAGGUAGACAAAAGGAGAUGACAUGAAAACAUAAUGAUAAAGAUGACCAACAAGCCCUCGAAUACAAGUUUUCUAAUACAAAAAUUCAAAAAUAUCAAUGCGAACAAGGUCAAUCCACCUCAACGGAGCCCCCAACUCUGCACCGACAAGUCGGGGCCCGUGAAGAGGAAAGCAAACUCUUUCUUGUCAAAGGUCGCUGUGACCCCUGACAGAAUUUUAUGUUCUAGUACCUCCGCAGCCACCUGCGGAGGCCAUAUUGAACUGCCUAUGCAAUCCGAGUACCUACGGCCCAGGCCGUCUAAAAAUUCUCCCACAGACCCUCCCUAGUGAUAAAGGAGGACAAACUCCUCCUCCUUCUCCUCCUCACGGGAAGGGGCUUCAAGCUGCUCCGUCAGUGGCACACUUCCCACUGACGGAGCUUUUUCUGCUAGUGGCCUACAUCCCACCGGCGGUUCAGUCGGCGGCACAGAGACACCUGCCGACUGUCCUCUGCUCCUCUUUUUCCUCUUUCUUUUAGAGGCUACAGGGGUAGAGACAUACGUCGGCAGGCACGGGGAGGGGCACUAUCCCAUUGUGUCACUUGCCCAUUUUUUGGUGAGCAACCAUUGUUACUCACCUUUCUUUUUCUCUUCGUGGAGGCAACUUCCUUCACGACUAUCGUUUCCCCCCCCCCCAGGGGGUGGGGUGGGCACCUUACUUUCCUGUGCCGGGGCCAUGUUACGGCCCCGAGGGCAGUCCUUCCUAAUGUGGCCUGGCUCCAGGCACGAGUAACACUUGGGAGGCGACCCUCAAAUAUCACUGGAUACCUUCAGCCAGCCAUUUUUAGAAAGUCCGGGAAUACCAUUUCGCCUUCGGCCGAUGGGGUCCAUAGGGUCAAAAUUCAUUUUGACUCCUCCCAGUCGACCGCUGGCGUCAUUCUCACAUUUCAGAGCCUGGGCUCACUAGCCCCCAGGCCCUGCCGGAUGGUAUCACCAAUCCAUCCUGCUUCUGUGCCCGGGGGUAGGCCACAUACCCAGGCUUUUAUCACCCUCCUCCCACAAUAAGUGGGGAGGAACAAAAUUUCUUGCCUCUGCCAACUUCCUCGGGGGUAACAAACAGCAACCAGACCGUUGCAAUUUUGGUCCCCCGUGAAAUAAAUUUUAUAGUUGGCAGGUAGUCUGCCAACUCUUUCUCUAUCACAAUCUUGUCGAAGAGGGCGAUGGCACCAUGUGACCUAGAAUAAAUCCGUAGUACCACCGUCCUCUUCUCAAGAUCUUUAAUCCACUGUUUGGGAGGGACCACCUCUCACUCCAAAGCAAGUUCAAAAAAAGUUCAAAGGUCAAAGAAAAAGUCCAAAAACGGUACACAAGAGUUAACAGAAACAGUCAAAAAGAAAUAAAACAAAAAAAGUAAAAAAAAAACUGUUCGAAAAGAAAGAAAAAAAAUCAGGAAAGAUAGAAAAAAACAAUUCACACAAUAAAAAUCCAAUUUCUUGGGCAACAGGUACUCCCGGUCAAAUGUGGAUAGUGUCCUUAGUACGAAACUUUUUUUUUCCGGUAAUUGGUAAAAUAAAUCCAAUAAAUGCAAACACAAUUCAGGCUACAGCCAACGGUAACUGCAACAGCAGGUAACAGGUUCUAAUCAUUCAGGCGAGGAUACGCACCCCCUUUUUUCCCCAAUAAAUUCACAAUAUACAAAAACAGCAGCCGCCGAGAGCAGGCGAAAAUGUCCCAGAGCUGGGCAAAAUUUAUUAACAAAAAAUUACAAUAUAACAAAUUACGCCCAGCUCAGAUAAAACAAGACCGCCUACGAGACGAACUUCUCUGUUUUUCUUCUUUUUUCUUAUAAUUAGACGGAGCUAACAAGUCCACAUCCAAUCUGGUAAAGCUGGAAGAAGUCGACUAACUGCGCAUGUGCGGAAGCAAGCUUCUUACCACAGAGCAACUCCUGCAUGCCUAAGAGUUGAAAAAUACUGGAAAAUAAUUUUUGAAGAAUGAUUACAGGAGAUUGAAAAAAUGUUGGUGUUAUUUAUUCACCAUUACACAUGUUUCAUACACUAACAGAAGUUACAAAACUGUACGUGUAGGAUAAACAUCUAAGAUAUAUCCUAUUAGAAAUUCUUCAGACAGGGAAUUAAAAAAUGUUAUAUGUGUAAUUUGAUUCUAUGUUGGAACAAUUUCUAAUAGAAGAUCGAUCGUCUUUAAGUUUAAUUCUGAUUUUAUAUGGCUAUGACUUUCUUCUCUCCCCCACUCUCUCUCUCUCUCUCUCUCUCUCUCUCUCUCUCUCUUUCUCUCCUUUUCUUCACUGUUAAAAGAGAGAAAAAAUGGGAAAGAAGUCCGUCGCAUUUCGUUUUUAAUUUUAAAUGACUAUAGACUAACUAAUUUUAUGAUCUAGAUUUAUAUGAUACUGAAGAGCUCAAUCAAGGGCGAAAUGGUACUAUCCACAACUACUGAAAUGUCUAAUAAAUGAAUUAUAUGGAAAUAUGGAAAUAUUAUGUUCUUUCCUUCUUCACUCAUGGGAAUAAAAGACCCCUCAACAUAGGAAAAAAUAUAAACCUAGAGGUGAUUCUCUCCCCUUGAGAUGAAUAUUCACUUUUUCUCUUAUCUCAUAGUAAUCUCUCUCUCUAUUUCCUUUUCUCUCUCUAUCUCCUUUUUCUUUCUCUCUCUCUCUCUCUCUCUCUCUAUCACACACUCUCUUGCUCCAAAAGCAACUAUAAGCAGUAGCAACAGUUUCGAUUAAAUAACGUGUGUACAACUUAGAUAUUUUUCUUGCAUGUAUAGCUUUGCGGUUCCUAUUAGCAAAUGAAAUACGUGUAAUAGUGAAUAAAUAGUGCCAAUCUUCUUGUUUUGCUAUGUGUGUGCGUGCUCACUCGCUUAUGUGUGUGUGUAUGUGCGUGUGUAUGUGCGUGUGUAUGUGCGUGUGUAUGUGUGUGCGUGUGUGUAUAUGCGUGUAUAUAUGUGUGCAUGUGUAUGUAUGUGAGUGCGUGUUUGUGUUUGUGUAUGUAGGUGUGUGAUCUGAGUUAAUAAACUCGAGAUCAUUUGAUUUGUAAGGUAAACUAUACAUAUAUUGUGUGUGCUUUCAGAAGAAAUGCUAUUUAGCUUUGCUAUAUUGGAAAAUUAAACAAUGCUGUUAAACAACAGAUGCGUCUUUCCAUGUGAGGACGGGGUGGGGAAAGAGGCGACUGUUAUUGCUGAGAGUUUGAUAAAAGUUGAAUUAGUCAGAACUGUUUCGUUUUCUGACUGGAAGAAUAAACCGGCGAUGUAACCCCACAUACCCAAUUAUCCUAAAAUGAAAACGAUGUUUAUUGCACUAUUCACUAAUGUUACAUGUAUGGCGGUUGGCUGUAUAUAACCACACACACACAUAUAUAUAUAUAUUAUGAUUGUAUUCUGUAUCUAUCUAUCUAUCUAUCUAUCUAUCUAUCUAUCUAUCUAUCUAUCUAUAUAUAUAUAUAUAUAUAUAUAUAUAUAUAUAUAUAUAUACAUAUAUACAAAUUAAAUAACCAAGGAACAGUAAUUACGUAUCUGUUCUCAUGAAAUUUAUUUAAUUUCAUAUUACGUUCUGUACUCAAAUCGCACAUAACUGCGAAUAACACUAGGUUGUUAGUGUCGUUAUAUUUAAGCGAAAUUUCAAAAUACAUACACGUGUGUGUGUGUGUGUGUGUGUGUGUGUGUGUGUGUGUGUGUGUGUGUGUGUGUGUGUGUGAAUGUAUGUGUGUGCAUUCGGAAUAGGUAGAUCUAACUACGCUGCGAUAAAGCUGCUUCAUAAUGUAACUAGCACACGAGUAUUCAGAGAGAAGUGAUACCGUAUAAAUCAUUCUUUCCGGAUCCUUAAUUGCUGUUCGACCACCAUUUUUCUAGCAGUUAUAUUAGAAUGUCCUUAAGUAUAGCCAUCUGAUGAUUCUAUGUCAUAUCAAUGUAAAAGAUCAACUUCGACUUACAUUUCUUUUGAUCCCAUAAUAUAACGAAUCAGUAAAUUGCUGGGUGUCAAUGAAAUCGACAAGAUUCUCUCCCCUAAAAAAAGUUGGUGGCCUUGUGCCUAAAUUAAAAACAAUUAUAUUUCGAACUCUUUAGAAUGUGCAUGGAUAGCUGAGCAGUCAAGAAGCUCGCUUUGCUUUCAUGUGAUUUUGAGUUCAGUUUCACGGCAUAGCACCUGGGGCAAGUGCUUUCUACUACAAUCUCUGACCUACCAAAGUCUUGUGAACUCAUAUGAAAAUCUGCUAUACCAAUACACUCACGUACGCGAACACACACACAUACACACACAUAGGUAGGUAGGCAGGUAUUUAGGAUGAUAGGUAGGUAGGUAGGUAGGUAGGUAGGUGGAAGGUAUGCAGGUAGGUAGGUAGGUAGGUAGGUAGGUAGGUAGGUAGGUAGGUAGGUAGGUAAGUAGGUAGGGUAAAGGGCCAGUCACUCCCUUUUGAAGUACAUCUACUUAUUCCAUUAUGUAUUUGCUGUCGUUAUUGUACAGAUACAAAGUACAUAUUAAAAACUGAAAAUUCUGGAAAUAUUAUUUGGAGAGUUUUUGUAUAACAAAACAUGAAGUUGGAAAAUUUAUUGCUACUAUUUAUUGACCAUCACACAUAUUCCAUUUGCUAAUAGGAAUUACAGUGUUUUACAUUUUUUUAUAGACAUGUGAGGAAUUUCCUAUCAGAAAUUCUUCAGACAGAAAUAAUAUUAUUAUUAAAUAUUAUUCAAUAAUAACAUCCAUUAUUAAAUAAUCUUAUUUAGUUUCUCUGAUGAUGAAUUUUUAAUUGGCAAUUCCUUACAUGUCUGCCUAAUAUGAAAACUCUGUUAUUUCUAUUGGUAAAUCAAACAUGUGUAAUGGUCAAUAAAUAAUACAAAUAAAUUUUCCAGCUUCAUGUUUUGCGAUAUAUACAGGAGUGGCUGUGUGGUAAGUAGCUUGCUUACCAACCACAUGGUUCCGGGUUCAGUCCUACUGCGUGGCACCUGGGGCAAAUAACUUCUACUAUUGCCUCGGGCCGACCAAAGCCUUGUGAGUGGAUUUGGUAGACGAAAACGGACAGAAAUCCGUCAUAUAUAUAUAUAUAUAUAUAUAUAUAUAUGUGUGUGUGUGUGUGUGUGUGUGUGUAUAUAUGUAUGUGUGUGUAUAUGUUUGUGUGUCUGAGUCCCCCCCCCCCAACAUCGCUUUACAACCGAUGCUGAUGUAUUUACGUCUCCCGUAACAUAGCGGUUCGGCAAAAAGAGACCGAUAGAAUAAGUACUAGGCUUCCAAAGAAUAAGUCCUGGGGUCGAUUUGCUCGACUAAAGGCGGUGCUCCAGCAUGGCCGCAGUCAAAUGAUUCAAACAAGUAAAAGAGUAAAAGACAUAUAUAUAUAUAUAUAUAUAUAUAUAUAUAUAUAUAUAUAUAUAUACAUAUAAAUUUAACAAUUAAGGAUAACCUCUUAAUAAGGAAUCUUAACAAGAAAUUAUCAGGUAGAUAGCGUGAAAAACCUCAUAAGAGAAAAAAUUUCGAAAAUAAUUUUUCCUUUGAACAUAUUAAUUUAUAUUAUAUAGAGGGCAUUAUUACACAUAAAUGCCUCACACUAAGAGGGACAUAAGUCAUUUCUACCAAAAAUUUUUGGUAGAAAUGACUUAUGUCCCUCUUAGUGUGAGGCAUUUAUGUGUAAUAAUGCCCUCUAUAUAAUAUAAAUAUAUAUACAUAUACAUAUAUACAUAUAUAUAUGUAUGUAUUUAUGUGUAUAUAUAUAUAUAUAUACAUAUAUAUAUAUAUAUAUAUAUAUAUAUAUAUAUAUAUAUAUAUAUAUAUAUGCAUGUGGAGGCGCAAUGGCCCAGUGGUUGGGGUAGCGGGUCGCGGUCAUAGGAUCGCGGUUUCGAUUCCCAGACGAGGCGUUGUGAGUGUUUAUAGAGCAAAAACACCUAAAGUUCCACGAUGGUCCGGCAGGAGAUGGUGGCAAACCUUGCUGUACUGUUUCACCACAACUUUCUCUCACUCUUACUUCCUCUUUCUGUUGUGCCUGUAUUUCAAAGGGCCAGCCUUGUCCCACUCUGUGACGCUCUGAAUAUCCCCGAGAACUACGUUAAGGGUACACGUGUCUGUGGCGUGCUCGGCCACGUACACGUUAAUUUCACGAGCGCAGGCUGUUCCGUUGAUCGGAUCAACUGAAACCCUCGUCGUCGUAAAAGACGAAGUGCCAACAAAUAUCCAUGCAUGGAUACAUAUACAUGUGUGUAUAUACAUAUAUUUAAGUACGUAUGUGUGUGUUUGUGUCUUUGUAUCUGCACGUCUUCGUAUCUGAGUUUUACCCCCACACCACUUGACGACCGGUGUUGGUUUGUUUACGUCACCGUAACUUGGCAGUUUGGUAAAUGACAACGAUGCAGUAAGAGUCAAAUUCAGAAAAUAAAAGCUAAAGGGAAUUUUUUUCGAUUAAAACUCUUCAAAUUUGUGCCCCAGCAUGGCCGCAGUCCAAGGAAUGAUUCAAGUAAAGAAUAAAAAAAGUAAAUGAUAUGGCCACGUAAAUGAUAUGGCUAUUUUUCUGCACCAUAAAUGUAUAAACAAGAUGGAGUUUUAAACAUCAACUACAUAGCAAUUGUUGAUUUGAGACGUCUUGUAUGUCAUGCCGCUUCUACAAAAGAUAAUUACUAAAAUGUUGCCACAUAGCCCUGGCCUACGAAAUUUUAUAUUUAUUUUCAUUUUCAAACUUGUAGCAUUCUUUAUUGAAUUCUGAUGCUUUUACGCUUUUUCUCGUUUUUUUAUUUUUUUAUUUAUUUAUUUUUCUUUUGUUCAAUCUCUUCUGUAAAGAGAAUGUGUUGACCUUCAAACUUUACAAAUGUUUGCAAGAAAUUAUAUGUUCUUUUAUGUUUUGAAAUACAUUGAAUAUAUCUUGGUACCUUCCAUUUUCUCAUAUUAUGAGAUUCUAUUAAUUAUUACAUUUGCGUUUGUGUAAUUUAUCGACCGAGGAGAGAAGCGUGCAAUGAAAUAAUUACGAUAACUGCCAUACUUAACGAUGUUAACAGCAACAUGAGCUCAUGUCCAAUGUUAUAUGCAACAAUGUGUUGUUAUAUAUUCACUCCGGCAUUAGCCAAUUAGUUCACUUAACGAUUAGCAAAUAUAAUAUUUAAGAGGUUCAUUAUUUCAAUUACUUUAUCACUGACUGUUGAAACAAUUGGUGCAAAAUUCUAUGGUUAAUUGCCUGUCUGAAACGUCUACUGUAUACUUUAAAGGUAACUCACAGAUAUUUAGCAUGGCAACUUAUUUUGUCACUUAAAUACAGAUAGAGAUGGAACGUCAGUCCUAUCUUUGAUGUUGGGCAAUGCUUCACUGACGUCUAUCCUUGUCACAAUCGCUUUUCAUCUCUUUAUCUUUCUAAGUUUCUCUCCCUCAAUUAAUCAAUUAAUAUAAAAUAUAUAUGUAUGUAUGUAUGUAUGUAUGUAUGUAUGUAUAUAUAUAUAUAUAUCUUUAUAUAUAAAAGUGAAGUUGUGUGAGUGUCUGUCUCCUACGAUUUAGAUUCCUAACUACUCCCACAUUUUGCGGUGCAGUGUAACCAAAAGCGGGUAUCUUAUAGUCGUCAUUCAUAUCAAGCCCUUCUGGGUAUUAGCGCGCGUCUACGAUGAGUCUAUGAUUUUAAAAAUAAUUUACCAUCAUAUUUUUCCAUUUUAAUUAAUUUUUUCGCUAUUAUAUAAGGGAAGUAACUCUCUAAAAAUGUCUACGAUGAGUCAACGAUUUUUUUUUUAAUUUACCAUCAUUUUUUUCCAUUUAUAAUGCAUUUUUUUGCUAUUUUUUUGCUAUAACUCUCUAAAAAUGCUUAUAUAGUUAUUUCCCUUACAAACCCGAGCAACGCCGGGCGAUACUGCUAGUAUAUAUAUAUAUGGAUGUGAAUGUGUAUGCACACACAUACAGUUGUGUGUGUGUACACAUACAUAUAUACAUCAUCAUGCUGGAAGAAACCUCGUAGCAUGUCCUGCACCAGAUGGGUGGACAUGAUUAAGGAAGAUUGCCGCAUGUUCGAUGUUACCUUGGAAGAUGCAGAUGGGCUGUCAUGGGAACGGUCAGCGAGAGAGAAUAUAUAAAUACAUACACACAUAUAUAUAUGAAAAUAUAUAUACACAUACACACAUGCAUGUAUGUAUGUGUGGGAGCAUAUAUACAGUGGGGGGAAAUAAAUAUUCGUGCAUGUCAAAAUUCUUUAUUUAUUUAACUUCUAAUGAACAUAAACGAGAUAUACCGAUACUGUAUUUGCAUACACAUGUAUAAAUUGAGAAUAUGCAAAAGAAACUAAUAAAUUAUAGUAACUAAGGAAUUUAUAUUCAAUUAUAAAUAUUUAGAGGUGAAAAAAGUAUUCGUAUAUAACAUAAAUAACUGAUAAUUCUGAUUUAAUACUUUGUAGUAUAACCAUUAUUCAGUUCCACUUCAACCAAUCUCUUCUUGUAGUUCUUAAUGAAUGACUCGCAUGUUUCUUUAGGAAUUUUUUCCCAUUCUUCUUGACAAAUUUUCUUUAAAUCUGCAAUGCACGUUGGGGCUCUUGAAUGAAUUUUAAUUUUCAAAUAAUGCCACAAAUGUUCAAUGGGAUUCAAGCCAGGUGACUGGCUUGGCCAUUCUAAUAAUUUUAUAUUGUGAUCGACAAUCCAUUUUUUGGCAGACUUCGCGUGUGCUUAAGGUCGUUAUCCUGUUGUAAAACCCACCUUCACAAAGCUGGAGCUUUUUCUACAGAGUCCCAUAAAUUAUUGUUCAAAAUAUUUUGGUACAUGUCUGCAUUCAUUCUACCAUCUAUCACAUGUAACUUGCCAGUACCAUUUGCAGAGAAGCACACCCACACCAUGAUGUUGCCACCUCCAAACUUUAUGGUAGGAAUUGUGUUUUUCGGCAAAUAGGCAGUACCCUCUUUCCUCCAAAGAUGGCUACGCGAAUUUCU